CCAGAGAGUAGUGUAGCCUUAUUUGAGGGGUGACAUGACAUAACAAAUAACAGCAAGUGUAUGUAUAUAAAAUAGAGAGUGUAAAGAGUACCUUCUAUUAGCACCAUUCAUCCCACUUGUCAGCUCAGCACAGCAGCACUGGCGAGCAGUUUAAGUUUCUUACUGGUACUGAAGCAGAGAACAACUACCUAAAAAGGCAAAGAUGUGGAUGGGGGUGUUGGUGGCCUCACUCUGGUGGUUUUCAGUUCAUGAUUGCUGGGCCCUUGUUGCUCGAGGAACUGCUUGUCAGUGACCGUAGCAGGCAAACCCCAGGGCCACCCUGCAUUGAGUGGGAUCCUCUCUCUAACACUGCUGUGAAGAAGCCCGAAGGAUCCUAAAACGCGAACCACCACCCCGCAGCAGCACGUCUCUGCAUGUGUCCUGGGCCAGCCUGCGGUGUGCUGCUCCCCCUCUGCGGUGACGCCGUGUGCAUCUUGCUGGGAGGAAUAGCUGAUGGCGCUGCUGGAAGCAAAGCAGUGUCGGCAGGGGACGAUAAGGUGGAGCAGGAAUCUUGGGUGCAGACAGACCACAGGGAGGACUGGUGCCAUUGUAUCAAAGAGGAGACCCCAAAUAGAGGAUGAUGAACAGUUCUACUUGGCAGUCCCAAGGAGCCCAGGGCUCCCUGACCCCAGCCCUUCCUAAUGCUGCCGCCCACCUCUUCCAGCAUAUCAACUACAGGGCAGAAAAGACCAAACUAUUAUAACGGCAUGACUAUUCGUCCUGUCACCAACAGCUGGACUGAGGGUAGGAAAAGAGGAAGGAAGCUGUAUUUUAUGAUUGUUGUAUAAAUGCUCUCAGUUAGAAUGAAAUUCUCCAUCUAAGUUAAGACCACUUUCACACUCACCAACCACUGAAUUGUCAGCAGUGUCAUCACGGCACCAAAUGUCUUUAUUAUCACAAACCUUACCAUUUUUCUUGCCUCACGGAGGCCUGCAAGCUCUGCUAACAGAGCCAACUGUGCUCACAGAACUUACCUGGAUUUCAUUAAGGCACUUGGUACCAAACGGUGCAGAGAAGGAGCUGGAUUUACAAGCCAAUGUACAGAGCAAUCUUCAAGGGCUGCUAUUAAUACGGCAUCGAUCAGUAAAGGUCCCUGCUCCCAGAUCAAAGCUCCUCCGCAGUUUGAUAACCACCCCAGCAACAGCUCUCCCGGCUCCCUUCUUCCCUCCCUUAGCGCGGCAGACGCCACCCGCCUGCACGCCCGAGCCCCCACAGGGCACCAGAGGGCGGUAAGGCAGCACGCCGCACAGCUCGCCAACACCCGCCCGACUCAUACGCGGGACACUUCCAGGUUACGCGCGUGACGUUGUGGCUCGGGCGGGCUAGAG
ensembl:lncRNA